UUGCCUUAAACUAAUGAGUAAGGAAAACAAAGCGACCGGUGAGAGCUGGUUGCCGCGCUACUCAUAACCAAUUGAGCGCAUAAAUUUUUGGAGGGGUUAUAGGCUGGCCGAGUGUUGACGCUGCUUACUUUGCAGAACUCACUUGAGCGGGCCUCCCAAACCC
rfam:Helianthus annuus linkage group 4, whole genome shotgun sequence.